rnacentral:misc_RNA from 1 species
UACGGAGGGUGCGAGCGUUGUUCGGAAUUAUUGGGCGUAAAGCGCGCGCAGGCGGACCAUUAAGUCUGAUGUGAAAUCCCUCGGCUCAACCGAGGACGUGCAUUGGAUACUGGUGGUCUUGAGUCCUGGAGAGGGUGGCGGAAUUCCCAGUGUAGAGGUGAAAUUCGUAGAUAUUGGGAGGAACACCAGCGGCGAAGGCGGCCACCUGGACAGUGACUGACGCUGAGGCGCGAAAGCGUGGGUAGCAAACAGG